AUUGAACGCUGGCGGCAUGCCUUACACAUGCAAGUCGAACGGUAACAGGUCUUCGGAUGCUGACGAGUGGCGAACGGGUGAGUAAUACAUCGGAACUUGCCCGAUCGUGGGGGAUAACGAAGCGAAAGCUUUGCUAAUACCGCAUACGAUCUACGGAUGAAAGCAGGGGACCGCAAGGCCUUGCGCGAACGGAGCGGCCGAUGGCAGAUUAGGUAGUUGGUGGGAUAAAAGCUUACCAAGCCGACGAUCUGUAGCUGGUCUGAGAGGACGACCAGCCACACUGGGACUGAGACACGGCCCAGACUCCUACGGGAGGCAGCAGUGGGGAAUUUUGGACAAUGGGCGAAAGCCUGAUCCAGCCAUACCGCGUGCAGGAUGAAGGCCUUCGGGUUGUAAACUGCUUUUGUACGGAACGAAAAGACUCUGGUUAAUACCUGGGGUCCAUGACGGUACCGUAAGAAUAAGCACCGGCUAACUACGUGCCAGCCGCCGCCGUAA
rnacentral:rRNA from 1 species